rnacentral:rRNA from 1 species
AUAUUGCGCAAUGGGCGAAAGCCUGACGCAGCAAUUCCGCGUGGAGGAUGAAGGUUCUUGGAUCGUAAACUCCUUUCGGUGGUGACGAUUAUGACGGUAACCACAGAAGAAGCACCGGCUAACUACGUGCCAGCAGCAGCGGUAAUACGUAGGGUGCAAGCGUUGUUCGGAAUUACUGGGCGUAAAGCGCGCGUAGGCGGGUCUGAAUGUCGAUUGUGAAAGCCCUGGGCUUAACCUGGGAAUGGCAGUCGAAACUUCAGAUCUUGAAUGUCUGAGAGGAUGGCGGAAUAACCGGUGUAGUAGUGAAAUACGUAGAUAUCGGUUAGAACACCUGAGGCGAAGGCGGCUAUCUGGCGGUACAUUGACGCUAAGGCGCGAAAGCGUGGGGAGCAAACAGG